GAUGAACGCUGGCGGCGUGCUUAACACAUGCAAGUCGAACGGAAAGGCCCUGCUCUUGUGGCGUGCACGAGUGGCGAACGGGUGAGUAACACGCGUGUAACAUGCACUUGUCUUUGGGAUAACUUCACGAAACUGAGGCUAAUAUCGGAUAGGAGCUCCUGCUGCAUGGUGGGGGUUGGAAAGUUUCGGCGGUUGGGGAUGGACUCGCGGCUUAUCAGCUUGUUAGUGGGGUAGUGGCUUACCAAGGCUUUGACGGGUAGCCGGCCUGAGAGGGGGACCGGCCACAAUGAGACUGAGGUACGGCGCAGACGCCUACGGUAGGCAACAGUGGAGAAUAUUGCACAAUGGGCGGAAGCCUGAUGCAGCAACGCCGCGUGCGGGAUAACGUCCUUCGGGUUGUAAACCACUUUCGCCUGUGACGAAGCCGGAGUGACGGUAAUGAAUAAAAAAGCACCGGCUAACUACGUG
rnacentral:rRNA from 1 species